UACGUAGGGGGCAAGCGUUGUCCGGAAUCAUUGGGCGUAAAGAGCGUGUAGGCGGCUCGGUAAGUCCGCUCUGAAAGCCCGGGGCUCAACCCCGGGAGGCGGGCGGAUGACUGUCGGGCUGAGAGUCCGGAAGAGGCGAGUGGAAAUUCCUGGUGUAGCGGUGGAAUGCGUAGAUAUCGGGAGGAACACCUGUGGCGAAAGGCAGCUCACUGGACCGCUAACUGACGCUGAGGCGCGAAAGCUAAGGGGAGCAACAG
rnacentral:rRNA from 1 species